GCGGCUGUAGCUCAGCUGGAUAGAGCGUCUGACUACGAAUCAGAAGGUCGCAGGUUCAAGUCCUGCCAGCCGUACCA
rnacentral:tRNA from 1 species